UGGGGAAUUUUGGACAAUGGGCGAAAGCCUGAUCCAGCAAUGCCGCGUGUGUGAAGAAGGCCUUCGGGUUGUAAAGCACUUUUGUCCGGAAAGAAAUCCUUGGCUCUAAUACAGUCGGGGGAUGACGGUACCGGAAGAAUAAGCACCGGCUAACUACGUGCCAGCAGCCGCGGUAAUACGUAGGGUGCAAGCGUUAAUCGGAAUUACUGGGCGUAAAGCGUGCGCAGGCGGUUUGCUAAGACCGAUGUGAAAUCCCCGGGCUCAACCUGGGAACUGCAUUGGUGACUGGCAGGCUAGAGUAUGGCAGAGGGGGGUAGAAUUCCACGUGUAGCAGCGAAAUGCGUAGAGAUGUGGAGGAAUACCGAUGGCGAAGGCAGCCCCCUGGGCCAAAUACUGACGCUCAUGCACGAAAGCGUGGGGAGCAAACAGGAUUAGAUACCCUGGUAGUCCACGCCCUAAACGAUGUCAACUAGUUGUUGGGGAUUCAUUUCCUUAGUAACGUAGCUAACGCGUGAAGUUGACCGCCUGGGGGAGUACGGUCGCAAGAUUAAAACUCAAAUGAAUUGACGGGGUCAUA
rnacentral:rRNA from 1 species